rnacentral:rRNA from 1 species
AACGAACGCUGGCGGCAGGCCUAACACAUGCAAGUCGAGCGCCCUUUCGGGGGAGCGGCGGACGGGUGAGUAACGCGUGGGAAUAUGCCCUUCUCUACGGAAUAGCCUCGGGAAACUGAGAGUAAUACCGUAUACGCCCUGUGGGGGAAAGAUUUAUCGGGGAAGGAUUAGCCCGCGUUGGAUUAGGUAGUUGGUGGGGUAAUGGCCUACCAAGCCGACGAUCCAUAGCUGGUUUGAGAGGAUGAUCAGCCACACUGGGACCGAGACACGGCCCAGAAUCCUACGGGAGGCAGCAGUGGGGAAUCUUAGACAAUGGGGGCAACCCUGAUCGAGCCAGGCCGCGUGAGUGAUGAAGGCCUUAGGGUUGUAAAGCUCUUUCAGCUGGGAAGAUAAUGACGGUACCAGCAGAAGAAGCCCCGGCUAACUCCGUG